CCCUUAGAUGCUCCGGGCCGCACGCGCGCUACACUGGUCGAUGCAACGAGUUUCUUUCCUUGGCCGACAGGCCUGGGCAAUCUUUGAACAUCGAUCGUGAUCGGGAUAGAUUCUUGUAAUUUUUGAUCUUAAACGAGGAAUUCCUAGUAAACGCAAGUCAUCAGCUUGCAUUGAUUACGUCCCUGCCCUUUGUACACACCGCCCGUCGCACCUACCGAUUGAAUGGUCCGGUGAAAUCUCCGGACUGGCGUGAGUCGGAGCAAUCUGACAAACACCGGAAAGUUGAUUAAACCUUACCAUUUAGAGGAAGGUGAAGUCGUAACA
rnacentral:rRNA from 1 species